rnacentral:rRNA from 1 species
AUUGAACGCUGGCGGCAGGCCUAACACAUGCAAGUCGAACGAGUGGCGGACGGGUGAGUAAUGUCUGGGAAACUGCCUGAUGGAGGGGGAUAACUACUGGAAACGGUAGCUAAUACCGCAUACCAUCAGAUGUGCCCAGAUGGGAUGAGCUAGUUGGGGGGGUAAUGGCUCACAAGGGCGACGAUCCCUAGCUGGUCUGAGAGGAUGACCGGCCCCACUGGAACUGAGACACGGUCAAGCCUCCUACGGGAGGCAGCAGUGGGGAAUAUUGGACAAGGGGCGCAAGCUUGAUGCAGCCAUGCCGCGGGUAUGAAGAAGGCCUUCGGGUUGUAAAGUACUUUCAGCGGGGAGGCGUUACCCGCAGAAGAAGCACCGGCUAACUCCGUGCCAGCAGCCGCGGUAAUUC